AUGGUUUAACUCCCUCCCUUACUA
rnacentral:tRNA from 1 species